UCCAAGACGAUCUUCCCGAUGCGCCCCACCUUUUGCACGGCUACGAUGUUAUACACAACUCACACAACUCGCCGAAACAAAGACAAGCGCUGUAGGUGAACACUUCUCAGCGGUAAUUUUGGAACGGUGGUCUUCGAUUCCAUACACCGGCGCGAACUCGCAGAUUUCCUCUCACCCAAACCUUUCUCUGCUUUCUCUGUUCUCGAUUAUAUCCAGAUCUACCUUUCUCCUCCUACUUUCUCAUCGAAAUUCUGAAAAUGGAGAAAGAAGAGCAGCAAUCCUCAGAGUCGGGAGUUGACGGAAAUGAGAAGGUAGAAGAAGCAGAGGCAGUUGAAUUCGUGCCCUUCCAAGUCGCAGAAUGCUAUGUCUAUCUGAUACCUCCAAGGAAAAGUGCAGCUUCUUACAGGGCUGAUGAAUGGAAUGUCAACAAAUGGGCAUGGGAAGGGGCAUUAAAAGUAAUCAGCAAAGGGGAUGAGUGCAUUAUCAAGCUUGAAGAUAAGACCACAGGAGAGCUUUAUGCUCGAGCAUUUCUGAGAAACGGGGAGCCACAUCCGGUGGAGCCUGUGAUUGACAGCAGCAGAUACUUCGUUCUUCGGGUGGAAGAGAAUAUAGGUGGUCGUCUAUGGCAUGCUUUCAUUGGUAUAGGUUUUUGAGAAAGAACCCAAGCUUAUGACUUCCAAGCUGCCCUUCAUGACCAUAUGAAAUACCUAAACAAAAAGAAGACUGCUGAAGAGAUGGAGCAGCAUUAU